UACAGAGGUCUCAAGCGUUGUUCGGAUUCAUUGGGCGUAAAGGGUGCGUAGGUGGCGCCGUAAGUCAGGUGUGAAAUUUCGGAGCUUAACUCCGAAACUGCAUUCGAUACUGGCGUGCUUGAGGACUGGAGAGGAGACUGGAAUUCAUGGUGUAGCAGUGAAAUGCGUAGAGAUCAUGAGGAAGACCAGUGGCGAAGGCGGGUCUCUGGACAGUUCCUGACGCUGAGGCACGAAGGUCAGGGGAGCAAACGGG
rnacentral:rRNA from 1 species